rnacentral:tRNA from 1 species
GUCAGGAUGGCCCAGUGGUCUAAGGCGCUGCGGUCAGGUCGCAGUCUCCUCUGGAGGCGUGGGUUCAAAUCCCACUUCUGACA